UACGGGGGGGGGCAAGCGUUGUUCGGAAUUACUGGGCGUAAAGCGCGCGUAGGCGGCUUUGCAAGUCGGGUGUGAAAUCCCCAGGCUUAACCUGGGGAACUGCAUUCGAGACUGCAUUGCUAGAGUAUGGGAGAGGGAAGUGGAAUUUCCGGUGUAGCGGUGAAAUGCGUAGAUAUCGGAAGGAACAUCAGUGGCGAAAGCGACUUCCUGGACCAAUACUGACGCUCAUGUGCGAAAGCGUGGGGAGCAAACAGG
rnacentral:rRNA from 1 species